UUGCAUGAGGGAUAGAAGUGGAAAUCCUUUUUGUUUUUUCAUUAAAAACAAAAAGAUUGGAACGGAAAGCCCGACCCAGA
rnacentral:sRNA from 2 species